rnacentral:misc_RNA from 1 species
UACGUAGGUGGCAAGCGUUAUCCGGAAUUAUUGGGCGUAAAGCGCGCGCAGGUGGUUUCUUAAGUAUGAUGUGAAAGCCCACGGCUCAACCGUGGAGGGUCAUUGGAAACUGGGAGACUUGAGUGCAGAAGAGGAAAGUGGAAUUCCAUGUGUAGCGGGGAAAUGCGUAGGGAUAUGGAGGAACACCAGUGGCGAAGGCGAAUUUCCGGUCUGUAACUGAAACCGAGGCGCGAAAGCGUGGGGAGCAAACAGG